rnacentral:lncRNA from 1 species
GCUCCACAGAGCAAUAUCUUGGGCUGCGUGUGCAGAGCGCAGACAAUGAAAAUCUCCGCCCCCUCCCCCAUGCUCUCUAGUCUACAAGAUUUUUUUCUUUCCUUCACAACGAUGGAAGCUAUGUAAAAUCAAAUACACAGAGAUGUACAUACUUUUUUUUUUUUUAAAGCACAGACUAACAAACCAAAGGACCUGACCAUGGAUUAUUCAAGGACGCACCUGCUGGGGAGCGCUCUGGGGUCUCCGCACAAAACCUGCUUUUGAGCCCUUUGGCUUUCUUCAAGCGAGCGCAGUCCGUCCAUCCCCCCUGGCCCACCCAGCCGCAAGGGAUGCUGUGAAAAGAGCCGCUGCUUGCCGCCUCCGGCCUGCCGUCCAGAGGGCUCCGCCCGUAGAGGCUUAUAUGGAAUAAAAUAAUGUAUAACUGUAUUACUUCAGCACCAUGAAUUUAGAAGUUCCAGCAUAUUGUGAAGCAGACACAUCUUUGCUAUGAAAACUGACUCACUACAUCAGUGCUGGUAUAAUAAAAUGCUUC